rnacentral:misc_RNA from 1 species
GGAAGUAAAAGCGUAACAAGGUCUCCGUUGGUGAACCAGCGGAGGGAUCAUUACCGAGUUUACAACUCCCAAACCCCUAUGUGAACGUUACCAAACUGUUGCCUCGGCGGGAAAUUCAUGCCCCGGGCGCGUCGCAGCCCCGGACCAAGGCGCCCGCCGGAGGACCAACCAAAACUCUUUUGUAUGUCCCUCGCGGACUUUUAUAAUUCUGAACCAUCUCGGCGCCCCUAGCGGGCGUUUCGAAAAUGAAUCAAAACUUUCAACAACGGAUCUCUUGGCUCU